GAUGAACGCUGGCGGCGUGCCUAAUACAUGCAAGUCGAGCGAACAGACGAGGAGCUUGCUCCUCUGACGUUAGCGGCGGACGGGUGAGUAACACGUGGAUAACCUACCUAUAAGACUGGGAUAACUUCGGGAAACCGGAGCUAAUACCGGAUAAUAUAUUGAACCGCAUGGUUCAAUAGUGAAAGACGGUUUUGCUGUCACUUAUAGAUGGAUCCGCGCCGCAUUAGCUAGUUGGUAAGGUCACGGCUUACCAAGGCAACGAUGCGUAGCCGACCUGAGAGGGUGAUCGGCCACAUGGGAACUGAGACACGGUCCAGACUCCUACGGGAGGCAGCAGUAGGGAAUCUUCCGCAAUGGGCGAAAGCCUGACGGAGCAACGCCGCGUGAGUGAUGAAGGUCUUCGGAUCGUAAAACUCUGUUAUUAGGGAAGAACAAAUGUGUAAGUAACUAUGCACGUCUUGACGGUACCUAAUCAGAAAGCCACGGCUAACUACGUG
rnacentral:rRNA from 1 species